UACACCCUUUGCGGCAGGUCAAGGUGGGACCAAGUUUUGAGCCAACACUCGUUAUAUGGGAGCAUCGCGCCAAUAAGGUUGUGCUGUUAGCACACGAAUUGCGGGCUUGCACCCACCUGCUUCGGCAGGUUCAAAACUUCCCCAUCAACGGCUAGCGAAGGGUGUUU
rnacentral:other from 1 species